rnacentral:rRNA from 1 species
UACGGAGGGUGCAAGCGUUAAUCGGAAUCACUGGGCGUAAAGCGCGCGUAGGUGGCUAUUUAAGUCAGAUGUGAAAGCCCUGGGCUCAACCUGGGAAUGGCAUUUGAUACUGGAUAGCUAGAGUAUGGUAGAGGUGAGUGGAAUUUCAGGUGUAGCGGUGAAAUGCGUAGAUAUCUGGAAGAACACCAAUGGCGAAGGCAACCUCCUGGGCCUGAAUUGACACUGAGACACGAAAGCGUGGGGAUCAAACAGG